CAGUCGCCGCGGGAAUACGUAGGGUGCAAGCGUUAAUCGGAAUUACUGGGCGUAAAGCGUGCGCAGGCGGUGUUGUAAGACUGAUGUGAAAUCCCCGGGCUCAACCUGGGAACUGCAUUGGUGACUGCAACGCUGGAGUGCGGCAGAGGGGGAUGGAAUUCCGCGUGUAGCAGUGAAAUGCGUAGAUAUGCGGAGGAACACCGAUGGCGAAGGCAAUCCCCUGGGCCUGCACUGACGCUCAUGCACGAAAGCGUGGGGAGCAAACAGGAUUAGAUACCCCCGUAGUCCCUGUCUCUUAUAA
rnacentral:rRNA from 1 species